rnacentral:misc_RNA from 1 species
GACGAACUGCGCAAACGUUAUUCGGAAUCACUGGGCUUAAAGAGUCCGUAGGCGGCUUGGUAGGUGGGGUGUGAAAUCCCCCGGCCCAACCGGGGAAUUGCGCUCCAGACCAUCUCGGCUCGAGGGAGAUAGAGGAGAGCGGAACUCACGGUGGAGCGGUGAAAUGCGUUGAUAUCGUGGGGAACACCGGUGGCGAAAGCGGCUCUCUGGGUCUCUUCUGACGCUGAGGGACGAAAGCUAGGGGAGCGAACGGG